GGGCGGUUAGCUCAGCUGGAAGAGCGUCUGCCUUACACGCAGAAGGUCGAAAGUUCGAGCCUUUCACCGCCCA
rnacentral:tRNA from 1 species